rnacentral:lncRNA from 1 species
UUCACUUUCAGAGUUUAGGGAUUUCCAGAGCUUUGGAUGAGUCUCAUUGACAGAAUUGGCAAAAAAGAGUAAAUGACUGGGUCUGGGAGCCAAACAUGUUCUCAGAAGAAAAACUCAACAUCUUGCUCAGAAUUAUGAUUUUGGCCUUCAACUCUCCAGUUUGUCUCAUUGACCUCAAAGGUUACAUCUCAAUAAAACAAACACUGCCAGGUUUCAUUCCUGUGCUUGGAAACUGACACUCUGGUUACCUCCACCCUGUUAAACCCUGUCAGCUUUAAAACUGCAUCCAGCCAUCUACUGGAAGUGGUCCUAGGAGUGUGCCUGUUCCUGCACCAUCCUUGGGAGCAGUGGGAGAGACAAGGUGGCCUGGCAAGGAACACUCUGGCAGGGAGAACCAUCGGGGAGAUCUGUCCAAGGACCUGGCUGUCUCUGAUGUGACCAAGGACAAAACCCCAAAGACAUAUAUCAUUUCUUCACUUUGUAAAAUUUCACCGCUUUGCCCUGAACGAUGGUGUUUGCCAGGAGAAUUUUGGAAUGAAAUGAAAUCUCUGCCCAAACACAAAGGAGG